rnacentral:rRNA from 1 species
UACGUAGGGUGCAAGCGUUGUCCGGAAUUAUUGGGCGUAAAGAGCUCGUAGGCGGUCUGUCGCGUCUGCUGUGAAAACUCAGGGCUUAACCCUGAGCUUGCAGUGGGUACGGGCAGACUAGAGUGCGGUAGGGGAGACUGGAAUUCCUGGUGUAGCGGUGAAAUGCGCAGAUAUCAGGAGGAACACCGGUGGGCGAAGGCGGGGUCUCUGGGCCGUAACUGACGCUGGAGGA